rnacentral:tRNA from 1 species
GGCCCAUUAGCUCAGUUGGUUAGAGCGUUGUGCUAAUAGCACAAAGGUCGCGGGUUCAAUCCCCACAUGGGCCA